CAGUCGCCGCGGUAAUACAGAGGGUGCGAGCGUUAAUCGGAUUUACUGGGCGUAAAGCGUGCGUAGGCGGCUUCUUAAGUCGGAUGUGAAAUCCCUGAGCUUAACUUAGGAAUUGCAUUCGAUACUGGGAAGCUAGAGUAUGGGAGAGGAUGGUAGAAUUCCAGGUGUAGCGGUGAAAUGCGUAGAGAUCUGGAGGAAUACCGAUGGCGAAGGCGGCUAACUGGUCCAUAACUGACGCUGAGGUGCGAAAGCGUGGGGAGCAAACAGGAUUAGAUACCCCUGUAGUCCCUGUCUCUUAUAC
rnacentral:rRNA from 1 species